AACGAACGCUGGCGGCAUGCCUAACACAUGCAAGUCGAACGAGACCUUCGGGGCUAGUGGCGCACGGGUGCGUAACGCGUGGGAACCUGCCCUUAGGUUCGGAAUAACUCCCCGAAAGGGGUGCUAAUACCGGAUAAUGUCUUCGGACCAAAGAUUUAUCGCCUUUGGAUGGGCCCGCGUUGGAUUAGCUAGUUGGUAGGGUAAAAGCCUACCAAGGCGACGAUCCAUAGCUGGUCUGAGAGGAUGAUCAGCCACACUGGGACUGAGACACGGCCCAGACUCCUACGGGAGGCAGCAGUGGGGAAUAUUGGACAAUGGGCGAGAGCCUGAUCCAGCAAUGCCGCGUGAGUGAUGAAGGCCUUAGGGUUGUAAAGCUCUUUUACCCGGGAUGAUAAUGACAGUACCGGGAGAAUAAGCUCCGGCUAACUCCGUG
rnacentral:rRNA from 1 species